UCAGGUUUAUUCCAUUGCAAAUUCAGAAAUACAAACAUUACAAUUUUGAUUUCUCCAGCAUUUGGACAGAUUAAGCCAAACAUCCUUGCCACAAUGGCACACACCAAACAUUGACAGAUUAAGCUUGCUUGUUCCUAGACAAUGUGUCAGUUUACAAGCAACUAAGAUACAACCUGCACUUUCACUCUACUAACACAAGAAGCCGCAACCAUGAAUACAGAAGAAACUGCAACCAUGAAUACAGUAGCUCGAUCACCACGCCGCGACUCCGCCAUCUGCAGCCGCCCGCGCUGCGACGCCUUCAGACUGCAGGACAACAACGACCUGGCGUGCACCUAGCCGGCCGGGUUCCUUCGUCGAACACCUGGCGUGCAACCACCCACGGCCGCUUGGAUCACAGCGCAGAGCACCGCUCCUCACCGCAGCCAUCCGCGGCUGGCGACGUGAUUCCCUGCACGGCGCAGCCAAGGAGGCCUUGCAGGAAGCAGAGAUGAUGAGGCCAGACGUCGUUCCAGCACAUGAGUCUGGCGGCCGAGCGUCCGCCAUCUCCAGCUGUCGGGCGAGCAGCAGCCGAGCGGGCGGCGGCGGCAGCGACAUCGAAAUCACUAUGACUUCCCGCGACUCCUUGCUUGGACGGGAUGCGACUCCUACUGGACCGGGGAUUAGGGGAGGGGGUCAUUUAAAAAAAACAAAUUAUUAAUGCGGGAGGUUACAUGUAAAUUGGUCGCACCUUGGCAGCCACUGGAAUCUUAGAUCGAGUGCUCGGUAAUUUCUACCUUGGUUUGCA
rnacentral:lncRNA from 1 species